UCCAGACUCCUACGGGAGGCAGCAGUGAGGAAUAUUGGUCAAUGGACGCAAGUCUGAACCAGCCAUGCCGCGUGCAGGAAGACGGCUCUAUGAGUUGUAAACUGCUUUUGUACGAGGGUAAACGCAGAUACGUGUAUCUGUCUGAAAGUAUCGUACGAAUAAGGAUCGGCUAACUCCGUGCCAGCAGCCGCGGUAAUACGGAGGAUUCAAGCGUUAUCCGGAUUUAUUGGGUUUAAAGGGUGCGUAGGCGGAGUGUCAAGUCAGCGGUAAAAUUUCGGGGCUCAACCCCGUCGUGCCGUUGAAACUGGCAGUCUCGAGUUGGAGAGAAGUAUGCGGAAUGCGCGGUGUAGCGGUGAAAUGCAUAGAUAUCGCGCAGAACUCCGAUUGCGAAGGCAGCAUGCCGGCUCCACACUGACGCUGAGGCACGAAAGCGUGGGUAUCGAACAGGAUUAGAUACCCUCGUAA
rnacentral:rRNA from 1 species